rnacentral:snoRNA from 1 species
AUGCAUCUCUGACAGCCCUGGAGCAGUUAAUGUCUGCUACUAAGGGUUUUACUAUAGAGCAAGAAAAAGAAGUCCUCGCACUUUCUGUCUGUCUCGUUGUAGCAACCAAGAUUGAAUGGGGGAAUACAGGA